UCUUUUCAGGUAUUCUAUGC
rnacentral:siRNA from 1 species